CCUACGGGUGGCAGCAGUGGGGAAUAUUGGACAAUGGUGGGAACCCUGAUCCAGCGACGCCGCGUGCGUGAAGAAGUAUUUCGGUAUGUAAACCUCUAUCAGCAGGGAAGAAAAUGACGGUACGUGACGAAGAAGCCCCGUCUAACUACGUGCCGGCAGCCGCGGUACUACGGCGGGGGCAAGCGUUAUCCGGAUUGACUGGGUGUAAAGGGGGCGUAGGCGGUGAAGCAAGUCAGAUGUGAAAGGUGGGGGCCCAACCAUCGGACUGCAUUUGAAACUGGUGAACUAGAGUACAGGAGAGGUAAGCGGAAUGCCUAGUGUAGCGGGGAAAUGCGUAGAUAUCAGGAGGAACACCAGUGGCGAAGGCGGCUUACUGGACUGUAACUGACGUUGAGGCUCGAAAGCGUGGGGAGCAAACAGGAUUAGAUACCCGAGUAGUC
rnacentral:rRNA from 1 species